rnacentral:rRNA from 1 species
UCGGAUUGUAGUCUGCAACCCGACUACAUGAAGCCGGAAUCGCUAGUAAUCGCGGAUCAGAAUGCCGCGGUGAAUACGUUCCCGGGUCUUGUACACACCGCCCGUCACACCAUGGGAGUCGGGAAUGCCCGAAGUCAGUGACCCAACCCAAGGGAGGGAGCUGCCGAAGGCAGGCCUGGUGACUGGGGUGAAGUCGUAACAAGGUAUC